rnacentral:rRNA from 1 species
UACGAAGGGAGCUGGCGUUGUUCGGAAUCACUGGGCGUAAAGCGCACGUAGGCGGGUUUGUCAGUCAGGGGUGAAAUCCCGGAGCUCAACUCCGGAACUGCCCUUGAUACAGCAAGCCUUGAGUCCGGAAGAGGUAGGUGGAAUUCCUAGUGUAGAGGUGAAAUUCGUAGAUAUUAGGAAGAACACCAGUGGCGAAGGCGGCCUACUGGUCCGGCACUGACGCUGAGGUGCGAAAGCGUGGGGAGCAAACAGG